AGAGUUUGAUCAUGGCUCAGAAUGAACGUUGGCGGCGUGGAUUAGGCAUGCAAGUCGAGCGAGAACCCCGGUUCGCCGGGGGGACAGCGGCGAAAGGGACAGUAAUGUGUAGAUCAUCUGCCCUCAGGCCCGGGAUAGCUGCGGGAAACUGCAGGUAAUACCGGAUAAUAUCUCCGGAUCAAAGGUGUGAUUCCGCCUGGGGAUGAGUCUACAUCCUAUUAGCUUGUUGGUGGGGUAAUGGCCUACCAAGGCAAUGAUGGGUAGCGGGUGUGAGAGCACGACCCGCGUCAUUGGGACUGAGACACUGCCCAGACACCUACGGGUGGCUGCAGUCGAGAAUCUUCGGCAAUGGGCGCAAGCCUGACCGAGCGACGCCGCGUGCGGGAUGAAGGCCUUCGGGUUGUAAACCGCUGUCAGAGGGGAUGAAAUGCAGGUGGGUUCUCCCAUCUGUUUGACAUAGCCUCAGAGGAAGGACGGGCUAAGUUCGUGCCAGCAGCCGCGGUAAGACGAACCGUCCAAACGUUAUUCGGAAUCACUGGGCUUAAAGGGUGCGUAGGCGGCGCGGAAAGUUGGGUGUGAAAUCCCUCGGCUCAACCGAGGAACUGCGCCCAAAACUGCCGUGCUCGAGGGAGAUAGAGGUGAGCGGAACUUAGGGUGGAGCGGUGAAAUGCGUUGAUAUCCUAAGGAACACCGGUGGCGAAAGCGGCUCACUGGAUCUCUUCUGACGCUGAGGCACGAAAGCUAGGGUAGCGAACGGGAUUAGAUACCCUAGUAGUCC
rnacentral:rRNA from 1 species